UACGUAGGGGGCAAGCGUUGUCCGGAAUCACUGGGCGUAAAGAGCGUGUAGGCGGUCCUGUAAGUCGGCUGUGAAAGUCCAGGGCUCAACCCUGGGAUGCCGGUCGAUACUGCCGGACUAGAGUGCGGAAGAGGCGAGUGGAAUUCCCGGUGUAGCGGUGAAAUGCGCAGAUAUCGGGAGGAACACCUAUGGCGAAGGCAGCUCGCUGGGACGUUACUGACGCUGAGACGCGAAAGCGUGGGGAGCAAACAGG
rnacentral:rRNA from 1 species